rnacentral:rRNA from 1 species
UAGGGAAUCUUCCACAAUGGGCGCAAGUCUGAUGGAGCAACGCCGCGUGAGUGAAGAAGGCUUUCGGGUCGUAAAACUCUGUUAUUGAAGAAGAACGUGUGUGACAGUAACUGGUCAUGCAGUGACGGUAUUCAAUCAGAAAGUCACGGCUAACUACGUGCCAGCAGCCGCGGUAAUACGUAGGUGGCAAGCGUUGUCCGGAUUUAUUGGGCGUAAAGCGAGUGCAGGCGGUCUUUUAAGUCUGAUGUGAAAGCCUUCGGCUUAACCGAAGAAGGGCAUCGGAAACUGGGAGACUUGAGUGCAGAAGANGAGUGGAACUCCAUGUGUAGCGGUGAAAUGCGUAGAUAUAUGGAAGAACACCAGUGGCGAAGGCGGCUCUCUGGUCUGUAACUGACGCUGAGGCUCGAAAGCGUGGGUAGCAAACAGGAUUAGAUACCCUGGUA